GUGGGGAAUUUUGGACAAUGGGCGCAAGCCUGAUCCAGCAAUGCCGCGUGCAGGAAGAAGGCCUUCGGGUUGUAAACUGCUUUUGUACGGAACGAAACGGUCCUGGUUAAUACCUGGGGCUAAUGACGGUACCGUAAGAAUAAGCACCGGCUAACUACGUGCCAGCAGCCGCCGUAAUACGUAGGGUGCGAGCGUUAAUCGGAAUUACUGGGCGUAAAGCGUGCGCAGGCGGUGCUGUAAGACAGGCGUGAAAUCCCCGGGCUCAACCUGGGAAUGGCGCUUGUGACUGCAGUGCUGGAGUGUGGCAGAGGGGGAUGGAAUUCCGCGUGUAGCAGUGAAAUGCGUAGAUAUGCGGAGGAACACCGAUGGCGAAGGCAAUCCCCUGGGCCUGCACUGACGCUCAUGCACGAAAGCGUGGGGAGCAAACAGGAUUAGAAACCCCUGUAGUCC
rnacentral:rRNA from 1 species